AAGAUAUAUAAUUUAAAGCUUCUAACUUUAAUAAAUAGAUUAAUAAUCUUAUAUUUUUUU
rnacentral:tRNA from 1 species